rnacentral:ncRNA from 1 species
CAGAGUAGGAUUCGGCGCGUGAAGUGUUUUGCGGACGGGGAGUUGCCGCGGAAACGAAGGGAUAAACCUGCGAUGCCGGAUUCGCAUCCCGCUG